UACGUAGGGGGCGAGCGUUGUCCGGCUUCCUUUUUCUUCCAUCUCUCUCAUUCUUCUCCUCUAUCCCGGCGUGAAAGCCCCCGGCUCAACCGGGGGAGGUCGUCGGGGACCUCGGGGCUGGAGGCCGGCAGGGGCGAGCGGAAUUCCCGGUGUAGUGGUGGAAUGCGUAGAGAUCGGGAGGAACACCAGUGGCGAAGGCGGCUCGCUGGGCCGGUCCUGACGCUCAGGCGCGAAAGCGUGGGGAGCGAUCCGG
rnacentral:rRNA from 1 species